rnacentral:misc_RNA from 1 species
AAUGUCGUAACAAGGUUUCCGUAGGUGAACCUGCGGAAGGAUCAUUUAACAAAGUAAAUGGCUGGUACGGAAGUGGGGUUCCUUUGAUCUGUAAGUGGUAGAGCUGAAGCAGUCCCGGCUGCCUCCCGAAAUGUUUACCAUGUCCCCCACAGCCUGAAGGCCGAAAUUUACAACCCUGAUUAUCUACACUUGUUGCUUUGGGGGAUGCUUCAAAGGUGCCCCCAGAGGACCCAACUCUCUUGCAUUUUAGGACCGUCUGAGUACUAUAUAAUAUUUGAAAAG